rnacentral:rRNA from 1 species
AAUGAACGCUGGCGGCAUGCCUAACACAUGCAAGUCGAACGAAGGCUUCGGCCUUAGUGGCGCACGGGUGCGUAACGCGUGGGAAUCUGCCCUUGGGUUCGGAAUAACAGUUAGAAAUGACUGCUAAUACCGGAUGAUGUCGUAAGACCAAAGAUUUAUCGCCCAAGGAUGAGCCCGCGUAGGAUUAGCUAGUUGGUGGGGUAAAGGCCUACCAAGGCGACGAUCCUUAGCUGGUCUGAGAGGAUGAUCAGCCACACUGGGACUGAGACACGGCCCAGACUCCUACGGGAGGCAGCAGUGGGGAAUAUUGGACAAUGGGCGAAAGCCUGAUCCAGCAAUGCCGCGUGAGUGAUGAAGGCCUUAGGGUUGUAAAGCUCUUUUACCCGGGAUGAUAAUGACAGUACCGGGAGGAUAAGCUCCGGCUAACUUCGUG